UACGGAGGGUGCAAGCGUUGUCCGGAAUCAUUGGGCGUAGAGCGCGUGUAGGCGGUCCGGUAAGUCCGCUGUGAAAGUCGGGGGCUCAACCCUCGAAUGCCGGUGGAUACUGUCGGGCUAGAGUGCGGAAGAGGCGAGUGGAAUUCCUGGUGUAGCGGUGAAAUGCGCAGAUAUCAGGAGGAACACCAAUUGCGAAGGCAGCUCGCUGGGACGUUACUGACGCUGAGGGCCGAAAGCUAGGGGAGCGAAAGGG
rnacentral:rRNA from 1 species